GACGAACGCUGGCGGCGUGCUUAACACAUGCAAGUCGAACGGAAAGGCCCUGCUGUUGUGGGGUGCUCGAGUGGCGAACGGGUGUGUAACACGUGAGUUCCCUGCUCUUGAUUUUGGGAUACCUUCAGGAAACUGGCGCUAAUCCCGGAUAGGAGCUCCUGCUGCAUGGUGGGGGUUGGAAAGUUUCGGCGGUUGGGGAUGGACUCGCGGCUUAUCAGCUUGUUGGUGGGGUAGUGGCUUACAAAGGCGUUGAUGGGUGGCCGGCUGGGGGGGGGGACCGGCCACAUUGGGACUAGGAUACGGCCCGAACUCCUACGGGAGGCAGCAGUGGGGAAUAUUGAACAAUGGGCGGAAGCCUGAGGAAGGAACGCCGCGUGCGGGAGGACGGCCUUCGGGUUGUAAACCGCUUUCGCCUGUGACGAAGCGUGAGUGACGGUAAUUGGUUAAGAAGCACCGGCUAACUACGUG
rnacentral:rRNA from 1 species